rnacentral:rRNA from 1 species
GACGAACGCUGGCGGCGUGCUUAACACAUGCAAGUCGAACGGACAGGCCUCUUUCGGGGGGUACUCGAGUGGCGAACGGGUGAGUAACAAGUGAGUAACUUACCCUUGACUUUGGGAUAGCUUACGGAAACUGGGGCGAAUAACGGCUAGGUGCUCCUGCUGCAUGGAGGGGGUUGGAAAGAAUCGGCGGUUGGGGAUGGACUCGCGGCGUAUCGGCUGGUUGGUGGGGGAGUGGCUUACCAAGGCCUUGACGGGUAGCCGGCCUGAGAGGGUGACCGGCCACAUUGGGACUGAGAUACGGCCCAGACUCCUACGGGAGGCAGCAGUGGGGAAUAUUGCACAAUGGGUGGAAGCCGGAUGCAGCAACGCCGUGGGCGGGAGGACGGCCUUCGGGUUGUAAACCGCUUUCGCUCAUGACGAAGCUUUGUGUGACGGUAGUGGGUAAAGAAGCACCGGCUAACUACGUG